UACAUUACAAUUCAUUGCAUACAUUCAUAUUAUAACAUUAAAAUUUGUAAGAAAUACAAAAAAANNNNNNNNNNNNNNNNNNNAAAAAAAAAAGAUUAAUCAUAAUGAUCUUCCACCUUCAUAUUUUCAUCCUCCUCCAUAUUUUCAUCGUCUUCCUUCUCCCCAUUUUGAGGUAUAAAUGAAAGAGAAUAAAAGGGUUGAAGGAAUCCCUUCCGAUUAAUCAUAAUGAUCCUAAGAGGCCUCAAAAAGUCCCUCGCCGAUUAACAUAAUGAUCUCAAUCGCCGCCAUCAAAGAACAUGCAUGCAUAAGAUCAUUAUGAUUAAUCGGCGACGAACAUUGAGGCCGUUCACCCCUAAAAUAACAAAACUUACAACAAAACUAAUAAGCUAAAAAAAUAUGAGAGAAGAAAUGGAAGAGGAAGAAAAAAUGAGAAUGUGAAAAAAAAUGAAAGGAAAGAGUUUAAUUUAUGGGCAUUUGGU
rnacentral:lncRNA from 1 species